UCAGCAGAUCUAAUCCCGAUUUCUUUGUGUGCCUCCAGUACAUUGCCGAGCCAAGUCAAAAAGAACACCUAUUUUAUCUGCCACUGGAGACAAUACAGAUUGGCACCUCCCUUGACUGGUAAAGCCGUGAGCCCAUAGCCUACAGACCAUAUUAUAGGGACUGACAGUUGCAAACAUAUUGGGGCAAUUGCACAUGUUCAUCUUCAUCGUCCGUGGCUGCAAUGAGACAAAAUAUAAGAGUUGAACUGAAGAAGGGCAGUUGCAUACUAAAGGCUGGCUCCCAUCUUGUUAGGAUACAGAGCAAGAAUAUCUGCACAGAAAAGAUCAAAUCCUUGAAGCCAUCAGGUUCUUCCCAGAGUGAUGUAUUAUCAGAAUAGGUUAGACCUUAUUAACUUUAAUUAAUGUGUAACCUUUAAUUUGCCUCCGUUGCUUGAUUUUUUAUCUAAUAUAAUUUCUACAUUGAGCAUCUUAGUGGCAAUUGACCAAGGUAACCACUUGGCUGUUAAAAUGCAGCUAUAUCCAAUUUAUCUGACAUAAUUCAAGUCAUCCCAUUAUUCAGAGAAUGGAGAGAUGGGAAAGCACAAGAGAACCGAGAUGGGAAAGCACAAGAGAACCCAAAUGCUGCUUUGUUUCUUGAAAUAAGAAAUGUUUUUAUUAAAAACUUAACAUAACUUUUUGGCAGAGGGGCUUAUUUACAAAUAGCUUGCAAAGGCCAUUCAUGCAUGAUUUUUCUCUGGUGUGGGGCUCAGGCAUACUGCCUUAUUGAAGCUUAAAUAGAAUCAUCAACUCGGCACCAAAGCGGAAUCUUUUUUGGCCUCCCCACCCAAUACACCUUGGAGAAGAGGAUUUGCAUUCUAUGUUAUACAUUAAAAUUGUAAUUCACUUAGAAACCGUGGUAUCCUAGGGGUCCAUACUUUACAAAACCUGAUCUCGUACCAAUGCCAGUAAGGAUUGCACCAGGCAACAUGCUUUUGCCAUCGAAGUGUAGGGGAGAUCAGUGGUGACACCAAUUUACCAAUGACCAAUUUAACCUCAUUUUUUGCUAGUUCUAGUAAUUUCUGAUGACAUAUAAGCUUAGUUUAAGAGCUCAGAGCACACUGGGCAUGUGCAGUGCCACUGACACUGAAAGAUUUCCCAAGAAGGUCAAAAUAUGGGAAGCUGCUGUGGACAAUUUGAAGGCGUCAAUCACUACUGUUAAAUGACUGGUGAACAUCAAGGUUGGUA